rnacentral:siRNA from 1 species
ACUUGUGAUCGAGUGAAGGCAGCU